rnacentral:lncRNA from 1 species
CAGCGGAAGCAUGAUAAUCUGGAUUACUUUGAGUAAGUCAGGAAUGCUGAUUCUUUGAGUCAAAGAAUUAUGAUAAAUGAUAUAGUUUGAUACAAGAAAUUCAUGGAUAUUAGAAAGAAUAAUAUUUUAAAAUUUUGAAUUAUUUUAGAUAUCCUAAUGUGAUUUUUAAAAGUAGAGCUUCCACCUACUAUGCUACAAAAAUAAUUAGCAUCCUAAUUCUAGGAUGAGUGGACCUUUGAUUUUUGAUUUUAGAUUUAGAAUAUUUAGAGAUAAGUUUUCUCUAUCCUAGAAUUAAAUUUUAUAAUUCCUUAUUUAUUAGGAAGAAUUUGAGAUUGU